ACCGGAUUAUUAAAAAUCAUUUAGCCUCUAGUCCCAGCUACUUGGGAGGUGAGGUGGGAGGAUCACUUGAGCCCAGGAGUUCUGGGCCAUAGGACGCUAUGCUGGUUGAAUGUCUGUACUAAGUUCAACAUCACUAUGAUGACCUCCUAGAAGCAGGGACCACCAGGUUGCCUAAAGAGGGGUGACCCAGCUCAGGUCAGAAACACAGUCAAAACUACCACACUGAUGAUUAGUGGGAUUGUGCCUAUGAAUAAUCACUGCAUUCCAGCCUGGGCAACAUAGCAAGACCCCAUCUCUA
ensembl:misc_RNA Metazoa_SRP Metazoan signal recognition particle RNA